AUUGAACGCUAGCGGGAUGCUUUACACAUGCCAGUCGAACGGCAGCGCGGACUUCGGUCUGGCGGCGAGUGGCGAACGGGUGAGUAAUGUAUCGGAACGUGCCCAGUAGCGGGGGAUAACUACGCGAAAGCGUAGCUAAUACCGCAUACGCCCUACGGGGGAAAGCAGGGGAUCGUAAGACCUUGCACUAUUGGAGCGGCCGAUAUCGGAUUAGCUAGUUGGUGAGGUAACGGCUCACCAAGGCGACGAUCCGUAGCUGGUUUGAGAGGACGACCAGCCACACUGGGACUGAGACACGGCCCAGACUCCUACGGGAGGCAGCAGUGGGGAAUUUUGGACAAUGGGGGCAACCCUGAUCCAGCCAUCCCGCGUGUGCGAUGAAGGCCUUCGGGUUGCAAAGCACUUUUGGCAGGAAAGAAACGUCGCGGGCUAAUACCCCGUGGAACUGACGGUACCUGCAGAAUAAGCACCGGCUAACUACGUG
rnacentral:rRNA from 1 species